UCAGUAUACUAAACCCUAACACCGAUAAAAUUGGAACGAUACAGAGAUGAUUAGCAUGGCCCCUGCGCAAGGAUGACACGCAUAAAUCUCUGUGCCUAAAUAUUUUG